CUGUAAUUAUAGCGAACUACAUUUUGCCUAAAAGUAGCCAAGUAGUUGACUACUUUUCAAACAGCAAAUCGCUAUUCGCUACUUUUUAAAAUUGUUAGCAACUUGAUAGAAUAGCAUGAUAUUGAGACACGUACGGUUUGCUUAAAAUCAAUACUCAAUAGUCAAUUUGCGCUCUUGAACACUGUAGUGCUUACAAACAUGUUGCUUUAUGUUUACUGUUGCUACUCGUAAGUCGAUUUGUUAUAGGUUACAUUUCAGCCUGAGUUAGUAGAUGCUCCAAAUACAGUAAAACUUAAAAAUAUAGCGUAGCGAAAUAGCGAAAUAGUUCGCUACAUUUUUUAAGCAGUAGCUGUAGUCAGUAGCGAACUACCUUUGUUCAAAAGUAGCAGUAGUUGUAGCUGACUACAUAUUUUUGAAGUAGCUGUAGUUAUAGCGAACUACAAAAAUUUUGUAGUCAACCCACCCUUGAAAUUAUUAUAUUUCUACUUUCGGUUAAAUUGUGAUCAGAUUGAGGCUUAUUUUACGCUUUAUUUUCAAAACAUAUUACAGUCGAUUUCACGAAACUUUGACCACAAAUUUUCCGAACUUCGUUGCGAAGUUCAC